rnacentral:rRNA from 1 species
UGAGUACGAGACGUUAAGGCGUCAGAGUAGUGUAUGUCAUACUUCCAAGAAAAGCUUGCACUGUCAUAAAUAAAGAAUGCCUGUACCAUAACCGACACAGGUGGGUAGGUAGAGUAUACUGAGGGGCGCGAGAUAACUCUCUCUAAGGAACUCGGCAAAAUAACUCCGUAACUUCGGGAGAAGGAGUGCCUUAUUUAUUUAAGGUUGCAAUAACAAGAUCCAAGCAACUGUUUACCAAAAACACAGGUCUCCGCUAAGUCGUAAGACGAUGUAUGGGGGCUGACGCCUGCCCAGUGCCAGAAGGUUAAAGAAGUUGGUUAGCAAUAGCGAAGCUGAUAACUGAAGCCCUGGUGAACGGCGGCCGUAACUAUAACGGUCCUAAGGUAGCGAAAUUCCUUGUCGGGUAAGUUCCGACCCGCACGAAAGGCGUAAUGAUUUGGAUACUGUCUCGGAGAGAGGCUCGGUGAAAUAGACUUGUCUGUGAAGAUGCGGACUACCUGCACCUGGACAGAAAGACCCUAUGAAGCUUUACUGUAACUUGAAAUUGAAAUUGGACUUUAUUCGCGCAGUAUAGGUGGGAGGCAUUGGUAAUAUUCUUGCGGGAGUAUUGGAGCCAUCAGUGAGAUACCACUCUUAUAAUGUUAGAUUUCUUUAACUUUGAACCAUUAUCUGGUCAAAGGACAGUUUCAGGCGGGCAGUUUGACUGGGGCGGUCGCCUCCUAAAUGGUAACGGAGGCGUACAAAGGUUUCCUCUGAACGGGUAGAAAUCGUAUCUAGAGUAUAAAGGCAUAAGGAAGCUUGACUGUGAGACCUACAAGUCGAGCAGGGACGAAAGUCGGUCUUAGUGAUCUGACGGUACUGAGUGGAAAGGCCGUCACUCAACGGAUAAAAGUUACUCUAAGGAUAACAGGCUGAUCUCCCCCAAGAGUUCACAUCGACGGGGAGGUUUGGCACCUGGAUGUCGGCUCAUCGCAUCCUGGGGCGGUAGUACGUCCCAAGGGUUGGGCUGUUCGCCCAUGAAAGCGGUACGCGAGCUGGGUUCAGAACGUCGUGAGACAGUUCGGUCCAUAUCCGGUGUAGGCGUUAGAAUAUUGAGAGGAGCCUUCUCUAGUACGAGAGGACCGAGAAGGACAUACCUCUGGUGUACCAGUUAUCGUGCCAACGGUAAACGCUGGGUAGCUAUGUAUGGAGUGGAUAACCGCUGAAAGCAUCUAAGUGGGAAGCCCACCUCAAGAUGAGUAUUCUCAUU